UAUAUAUAUAGAACUAGGCUAUUAUGCUAUUAAUAGCACGAAGUCAUUGGUGCUACUAAGUUUUUGGCCAUUAGAUUAAGAGAUGUGCGGUUAGGAUGAUAUGAACCCCCUAGGGUUGAGUGGGUGGUUGGUAAUUGAUAGUAUGAUCUAACGGAUGAAAAUGAUCAAAAUGGUAGAUCUAACGGCGGAAAACUUGGUAGCACCAAGUGCUUCGUGCUAUUAAUAGCAUAGUAGCCGGACUCUAUAAAUAGGAUUGGGACCAUUGUCCUAUCAAGUUGUUUUGCAUGAUCGGAACUUCAAAUUGAUAAUCGGCACCGUUGAAAUUGAUCUACACAAUUAGAAAUGUUUAGAAACUAAAUUUUGUAAUAUUUAAAAAUCAUUAUCAAGUUCAUCUUAAGAGUUCAAAAAUAAACGGUCAUAAAUGAAUAUUCUUCUUAAAAUAGAGGUUAGACUUUCUCAAUUUAUAAUCAGAGCUAUCAAACAUUAUCUAAAUAGUAUAAAGAAUUUUCUAUCAAAAAUUCAAGCAAUUUGGAUUGCUCUACACCAUUAAACAAGCAAACGGCUCAUUUAGGCCGUCAAAAAUUAUCGAUUUUACGACACUUUGAUCACCAUGUAAAUAAUUUUUAAAAAUUCUAAAAUUUAGUUUCUAUAUAUUUCAAAUACUCUAGAUCAAUUUCAACGGCUCCGAUCAUCGAUUUGAAAUCUCUAUCAUCAAGAACAAUUUGAUAGGAAAAGUGCUCCAAUCCUAUUAAUAGGAUAGUAGCUCUAGCAUAUAUAUAUAGUACAGCUGGAAUACUAUCGAUAGCACCAAGGGCUUGGUACUAUUAAGUUUUCCACCGUUAGAUUUAACCCUUUGAUUAUUUUUAUCCAUUAGAUUAUACUAUUUAACCAACCACCCAAUCAACCCUAAAAGGCCCAUAUCAUCCUAAACGCACAUUUCUCAAUUUAAAGGCUAAAAACCUAAUAGCACUAAGCCCUUGGUGCUAUCGAUAGUACUCCAGCCUAGUUCUCUCUCUCUCUCUCUCUCUAUAUAUAUAUA
rnacentral:lncRNA from 1 species